CCGAAAUCCAGCCAGACUUAUUUACUUUCAGGCUGACUUCUUUUGUUUCCAGGUUUCUUGUUCUUGUUAGCUUUCUUCUUUUGUGUUUUGGUUGUUCAAAGUUAGAUACCCUUCUUCUCAUGCGACACCAACAAUACUUCUUAGUAAACAGUCUCAUGCAUGCCUUGUAUAAAUAUGUUUGUGUCGGUUCACACU